CCAGACUCCUACGGGAGGCAGCAGUAGGGAAUCUUCCGCAAUGGGCGAAAGCCUGACGGAGCAACGCCGCGUGAGUGAUGAAGGUCUUCGGAUCGUAAAACUCUGUUAUUAGGGAAGAACAAAUGUGUAAGUAACUAUGCACGUCUUGACGGUACCUAAUCAGAAAGCCACGGCUAACUACGUGCCAGCAGCCGCGGUAAUACGUAGGUGGCAAGCGUUAUCCGGAAUUAUUGGGCGUAAAGCGCGCGUAGGCGGUUUUUUAAGUCUGAUGUGAAAGCCCACGGCUCAACCGUGGAGGGUCAUUGGAAACUGGAAAACUUGAGUGCAGAAGAGGAAAGUGGAAUUCCAUGUGUAGCGGUGAAAUGCGCAGAGAUAUGGAGGAACACCAGUGGCGAAGGCGACUUUCUGGUCUGUAACUGACGCUGAUGUGCGAAAGCGUGGGGAUCAAACAGGAUUAGAUACCCUGGUAGUCCACGCCGUAAACGAUGAGUGCUAAGUGUUAGGGGGUUUCCGCCCCUUAGUGCUGCAGCUAACGCAUUAAGCACUCCGCCUGGGGAGUACGACCGCAAGGUUGAUACUCAAAGGAAUUGACGGGGGCCCGCACAAG
rnacentral:rRNA from 1 species